AAGAAGAAGAAGAAGAAGAAGAAGAAGAAGAAGAAGAAGAAGAAGAAGAAGAAGAAGAAGAAGAAGAAGAAGAAGAAGAAGAAGAAGAAGAAGAAGAAGAAGAAGAAGAAGAAGAAGAAGAAGAAGAAAGAAGAAAGAAGAAGAAGAAGAAGACGACUCCGAGCGGGAACCGGAAUUGGUAAAAUGCUAACUCACCGGUUGUUUUUGGACUCGUCACUGCAUCACUGACAACAUCCAUGUAUUUCCUACAGACAAGCUAAUAAAGAUGCCUGACAGUGUGCCAGACUUGCAAACACAAAAUAGGAGUAGCCAGCAGGAAAUGCAGGCAAUGUGGUGCCAACCAACCCUACAAGGAGAAACUAUCCAAGCAAAAGGAAAAGGUUGCACAGGAGUGGAAGGCCACGCAACAAAAAAAACACAGUGUCAACAAAGUUUAUGACUCAACAAAUCUACUGCUCCACAAAUGGAAACUUCUUGAGCGGCAUCCCAUCCUCCUUCUUGCUAAGAGAGGCACAAAUGGUUUUGCGGCCGAUUGCCUCUGUCCAUGGCAAAUUGAGACAGAAGAUGGUAACAAUGCACUUGUUACCAUAAAGAGGAUUUACGAAAGCCUUCUUAAUGCCUGACUCCUCCUCUCUCCUCCGGCCUGACUCCUCCUCUCUCCUCCGGCCUGACUCCUCCUCUCUUCUCCGGCCUGACUCCUGCUCUCUCCUCCGGCCUGACUCCUCCUCUCUUCUCCGGCCUGACUCCUGCUCUCUCCUCCAGCCUGACUCCUCCUGUGUCCUCAGUGUCUUCCUCACAGAAAAGAAGACCAACGAGGAAUAAAGUGGCAAUUAAUGAAUGUCCCAUUCAUCAAGGGUCAGCCACUUUCCCCUACAAAAAACUACUGAGGGAAAGAAUCGGGGAGGGCCAUACCGAGGUGUUGGUGCAGUGGCAGUCUUGCUCUGGAUGUGGGGCGAAGUGGAAAAAUUCCCGGGAGCCAAAGGAAAACUGUCCUAGUUAAAUAUGCCUGACUUUUUUUUUUAUACAUUGGAGUAAUAAAAUACAUAUAAAUAAAACAUCUAUGUAAG